rnacentral:lncRNA from 1 species
CAAUUUUUUUAUCAACAUGGGGUAGGUCCAAUCACAUUUUUAAAUGUUGGCAUAAUAUUUUUCCAGAUUAAGGAGUUCUAUUAUUUAGGUUCAAUCAACAGUGUAAAAUGUUGAUAAAAAAAAUCACUCAAAAAAGAGCUGGUAAUUCGAAUUUGUAAGAUCUUUCAACGUCAAAAGGAGAUAUCAACCAGUUAGAACCUCAUCAUCUUGGUUCAGUUCGUGAAAUAUCCUACAUUGGCAGAUGAGGGAGAAAAUAGGAGUUUAAAUGUCCUAAUUACACUUUAACUUAUACUGAAAAAUUUUGUAAUAAAACUUCACAUUUAUCAAAUUGUGCACGUGAAAAUCAACAAUUUGAAGUCAAUAGCAAUAUUGUUAUAAGUAGGUUUGGCCCACCUUUUUGAUAAUUUUGGCAAAAAUAAAUUUUACACACAUCCUUACGUGAGAUUUGUCAUCAUCAGUCAACAAAUCAAAUUCUUUGUACCAAACUCUUGUCAACCUACUUAAAUAGAAUUUCUACAAGCAUUUUUUGUCUGUAUGUGCGGAAUCGUAUAGUAUUUUGCUGUUUGUUGUGAUUGCAUAGAUCAUUAUCAAAUUAUUAGCCCAUAGAAAGUCCUAGUAUACAUUGCCAGAAUGCAAUCUUUACCGACAUAGAGGCAAGCUAUUCUUUUUGCACUAUACUAAUUGCCAAGGGACAUCACUUCCACUCUAACAUCCUAAUACAUAUAGCAAUCACUAUUCUAAAAAUUUCCACCUAAGCGUUAGGUAACUAGUCACCAUCAUACGAUUAAUCUUUAGGUAUUUAAAAAUUAAGAAAUAGUAUCUAGACCUAUCUAGGCACCCGCCUAGGUCGCGACUCUCACUUAGACAGAAAAUAGCUAUAUAACUUUCAUUUUGCAUGUUAUUUUUUAAUAAAUUGUAAGAGACUUGUUGAAUACUUGAGGGAACACUCCUUAUAUGCUUGUUCCCAAUGUUUUAAGUAUGUUCUAAUACUUUAUAAUCUAUAUGUCAUUCUAUUUACAAUUAUGUAUUAUUUUAAUUAAGUAUAAAUAGAUAUUUAUUAACAUGUUAUAUAAUAAAUUUAAUUAAAAUUUAUAUAAAAAAAAACUGCCUAUAAGCCUAGGCAUUAGGCCCCUGAUCACCGCCCGACUAGCGAACAACCUCUUUAGAACCUUGAUUACAAUCAUCAAGAAGCUAUAUGAAUAAGAAGAAAAUUAUGUAUUUUUUGUUAACCAAGCUUGAUCAUAUGCAGAAGAAGAAGAACAUAGCAGAGAGAGAGAGAGAGAGAGAGAGAGAGAGAGAGAGAGAGAGAGAGAGAGAGAGAGAGAGAGAGAGAGAAUUCUUAGAGAAGAAGUAAUCUAUUUGUUUUGAUUAUUUUCCUUAAUUGUUUACAUCAUCCUUAUAGUAUAUAUACAACUAAUGUUGCCUACAAUAUAAGCUAACUGUUUAACAUACUACUAACUACUUGUCUAAUCUUAUGACACUUGUCAAAAGUAUAGCCCUUAGAUUGAUUACUCCUUACAUCCCUCCUCAAUCUCAGGGGCAAUGAAACUGAGUUUGAGAUUGUUACAAUGAGUCUUGAAUAAUGGUGCAGACAACCCUUUAGUUAUGAUAUCUACAAACUGCUCAAGUGAAGAGACAAACUGAACCAACAACAAUCUUUUAGCCACCCAUUCUCUCACAAAAUGAACAUCGAUUUCAACAUGUUUUGUGCGCUGAUGCUGAACAGUAUUACAUGUAAGAGCAAUUGCAGAUAGAUUAUCACAAUAAAGGGUAGGUGUACCAGAAAUUGAAACUUGCAUAAACCUUAACAAUUGCUUGAUCCAAUCGAUCUCAAGAGUUGUGGAAGAUAGUGCUCGAUACUCUGCCUUAGUGGAGGAAUGAGAGACAAUAUUUUGUUUCUUUGAGGACCAUGAGAUGGGAUUAGAACUAAGAAAGAUAACCAGUCCUGUAGUGGAUCGACAAUCAUUGGGAUCUUAUGCCCAAUUAGCAUCGCUGAAUGUUUGUAAAUCCAAUCCUCCUUUAGUAUAAUGCAAACCACAUCCUUUAGUAGCUUUCAGAUAACGUGGAAUCCUUUUUAUUGCCACAAAGUGAGCUUCCAUAGGACACUGCAUGAACUGAGAAACAUGAU